rnacentral:rRNA from 1 species
AGGUGUGGGGUCUUAUCAACGGAUUCCGUGCCGAAGCUAACGCAUUAAGUACCCCGCCUGGGGAGUACGGCCGCAAGGCUAAAACUCAAAGGAAUUGACGGGGGCCCGCACAAGCAGCGGAGCAUGUUGCUUAAUUCGAGGCAACGCGAAGAACCUUACCUGGGUUUGACAUGUAGGGAAAAGCCGCAGAGAUGCGGUGUCCUUUUGGGCCCUACACAGGUGGUGCAUGGCUGUCGU